CUUUCUUUGCUGGCGACCGGCGCACGGGUGAGUAACACGUAUCCAACCUGCCCUUUACUCGGGGAUAGCCUUUCGAAAGAAAGAUUAAUACCCGAUAGCGUAAUGAUUCCGCAUGGUUUCAUUAUUAAAGGAUUCCGGUAAAGGAUGGGGAUGCGUUCCAUUAGGUUGUUGGUGAGGUAACGGCUCACCAAGCCUUCGAUGGAUAGGGGUUCUGAGAGGAAGGUCCCCCACAUUGGAACUGAGACACGGUCCAA
rnacentral:rRNA from 1 species